UACGAAGGGGGCUAGCGUUGCUCGGAAUGACUGGGCGUAAAGGGCGCGUAGGCGGCUUGCACCGUCAGAUGUGAAAUUCCUGGGCUUAACCUGGGGGCUGCAUUUGAUACGUGUGGGCUUGAGUGCGGAAGAGGGUCGUGGAAUUCCCAGUGUAGAGGUGAAAUGCGUAGAUAUCUGGAGGAAUACCGGUGGCGAAGGCGGCAUCCUGGACCGGCAUUGACGCUGAGGAGCGAAAGCCAGGGGAGCAAACGGG
rnacentral:rRNA from 1 species